GACGAACGCUGGCGGCGUGCUUAACACAUGCAAGUCGAACGAAGUGGCGAACGGGUGAGUAACGCGUAAUCAACCUGCCCUUCAGAGGGGGACAACAGUUGGAAACGACUGCUAAUACCGCAUACUGAAGGAGGGGCUUGCGUCUGAUUAGCUAGUUGGAGGGGUAACGGCCCACCAAGGCGAUGAUCAGUAGCCGGUCUGAGAGGAUGAACGGCCACAGUGGGACUUAGACGAGGCCCAGACUCCUACGGGAGGCAGCAGGGGGGAAUCUGCCGCAAUGGAGGUAAGACUGACGGAGCAACGCCGCGUGAGUGAUGACGGCCUUCGGGUUGUAAAGCUCUGUUAAUCGGGACGCGGUACCGGAAUAGAAAGCCACGGCUAACGACGUGCCAGCAGCCGCGGUAAUAC
rnacentral:rRNA from 1 species